GACGAACGCUGGCGGCGUGCUUAAUACAUGCAAGUCGAACGGAAAGGCCCUGCUUUUGCGGGGUGCUCGAGUGGCGAACGGGUGAGUAACACGUGAGUAACCUGCCCUUGACUUUGGGAUAACUUCUGGAAACAGGGGCUAAUACCGGAUAGGAGCUCCUGCCGCAUGGUGGGGGAUGGAAAGAUUCGGCGGUUGGGGAUGGACUCGCGGCUUAUCAGCUUGUUGGUGGGGUAGUGGCUUACGAAGGCUUUGACGGAUAGCCGGCCUGGGCGGGUGACCGGCGACAUUGGUCCUGAGAGACGGCCCAGUCUCCAACGGGAGGCAGCAGUGGAGAAUAUGGCACAAUGGGCGGAAGCCUGAUGCAGCAGCGCCGCGUGCGGAAUGCCGGCUUUCGGGUUGUAAACCGCUUUCGCCUGUGACGAAGCGUGAGUGACGGUAAUGGGUAAAGAAGCACCGGCUAACUACGUG
rnacentral:rRNA from 1 species